UAUUCGAACUCAUUUGAAGAACUUCCUUUUAUUCUCAGAGAAAUCACAAGUCCUAGGUUACCACGACCAUCAUUACAACAAGAUGAAGACCGUCAUGUUGGUUCUGAUUGUAGCCUUGAUAGCGUGUAUCACACUGACUGAAGGCCGCGACUCCGAGACAGAGGAGAGAUUGAGAAUAAAACGCGGGGGCUGCACACCGCCGGGUGGCGACUGUAAAGAAAAUGAAGAUUGUAAAUCAAACUGUUGCGUCUACGGCAGAUGUUGUUGGAGGGGUCGCUAGCUAGGAUGACAGCGUUCAAAUAGGAGCACGAUGUGCUGCUCGGUCAUCCCCCAUCAUUGAUGUAUCAGAGAAAAUGCAAUAAAAGUGACGAAUCUAGACCUCAA